UGAGAAUACUCAUUAUACCAGAAUGUUGUAUUGCCCCCCAGAAAACCCAGCAUAAUUUCCCCCAACGGGCAUUUUAGAACUGGUGAGAAAUAAAUUCAGAUAAAUGGUGGUGUCCAUUGUGUUAGACCCCACACACUGAAUAUUUGGCAACUCAGAGACCAAAGAUGUGCAAGGGCCAUGUUUGCGAGUGGACAUUUCUUCUUUGGCAGUACCUGAGAGCAGAACUAAGCUGGACAAGGAAUUUCAAUCUGGGUCUGUCUUCUCUGCUUAUGUGUAUGUAAAGGUGCCCAGGUGAUUUUAUUGGCACAGGGUUUGCAAGCAUGUAGCUGCUGCAUCCUGUCACUGGAGACUAAGAAGCUGUGGCAGGUCAUCACAAAAAGAAUUAGCUCAUGUAUUUUGACAGGUGAAGCAAAAUAAAAUGAAAUAAAUUGACAGGAAGUGAAGCCAAAAUGCAACAAAGGAAUAGACUUGCAGGAAUAUCAGGUUACCAGAGGGGAAAACAGCACAAGGAUGAGAAAUGUAUAAACAAAUAAAUAAAGAUAGAUAUUUUUAUAAAUCUGUUGCAACCUCAGUUGUUUGACUAGCUCAGAAUUCUUUGUCUCUUGGCCUGUUUGGGUAGGGCACUGCUACUGUCACAGUAAGCGCUUCCACUUCCUAACACAAAGUAAGGGAACUCCAAGAUCUCUUGCCAAGAUUUCUUUCAAAUCUGAACUGAGUGUGAAGCAUGAAGUAAGAAGGUCCACUUGAGUUUGGAGAGAGUCUAAAAUAAGAGCUCUAGGAAUUGGAAGCUGCUCUAUUAGUUUCAUUUCAGGCCCACGGACUGCAUAGGUUUGUGGCCAAGAAACUGCCAAUUAUGACUGCUAUUCCCUAAGGGAAGAAAGAGAAAUGCUAUAUGGGGCACAAAAGCAACAGUGAAUUUCUUAGCAUAUGGACUUUUCCAGUGUCAGCUCAGCCAGCUUUCUGCUGUAAGAAAACAAGAGCGAGCUUCGCAACUAGUAUUACCAAGUGGCUAGAGACUUUCUUGACACUGUGAUGCUAGAAAAAAACAUAGACAAGCAAAGGAGAAAAUUUAUCCAAAAUUACAGCAAAGAAAUGCAUUAGCAGAAGAAAAAAAAUAUAAACUACACAGGCAGCAUGGAAAGCAACAGUGGGGUUUUCUCAUUAAAGAUGCUGACAUGAAAGUAGAAAAGGCAACAUGUCAAUACAGCUGUAGCUGGUCACAGAAGUGAAUAGCUGGCCUGUUUCUGAGGACCGCUGUUGUGAUCCUAGGGAACACUGUACAGAUGCGUGGCAGUACCCAGCCUGUUCAGGUUAUACCAGCCCGCAAGCCUCCAGCCAAACAGCCUGCCAUUUAGUGGUACAUGUCCCUUGGCUGCACACAGCACACACAGGCCAUCUGUGAGAAAACAGGAUUCCCUCCUGUGCCUGGGCAGUGGCAGUGACACCACCCAGGGACUGGCAGACCACAAGCUAGCAUGCAGCAAGGUCUGAGGGGGGAAGGGGAUAUAGCGCUAGAGGAGCUGUGAGAUUUGGUUUUGAUACCUUGAUACCCAGAGCCCCAGCAGUUUGCCUGAAGAAGCACAGUCUCAUGUGUCAGUGGAUCUAAAACAUACAGGAGAUGGGAUCUCCAGUAUGAGAGUAGGCAAGAAGAGUAUGUACCAUGGAGGUAGCUGAAGAGAUUAUGGGAAAAUGAAAAUAGAGUUUAAUGCUCUAUGUAUUUAGACAGGUGAAAGUGUGAUUUGGAGACCUGGGCAGAGGACUUCCGUGAAUAGGUUUGUUUUCUUUCAGAGAAUGUUUUUUAAUCUGAAAGUCUGAGUGGUUUGUUCUGAAAAUAUUAUGUAUUAAGCACUUUGUUGUUAUAACUGUUGUUUAGACUUUGUUAUGAAUGCAUAUGAAAAAAUCCACUUGUUAUCUACUUUAUUUGGAUGAAUUGUUACCUGACGUUAACAGGAAAUUUAGGCAGAGCCCUGCAGGAGUCAUCCCUUGCUGAAAGUGCAUGGGAAUAGAGAUCGAUUUAACCUCUGCAGCACAGGGGAGGGGAGAAAUUUGGUGGAUGUCCUACAAAUGUCAUUGACAAGACUUCUGCAGUGCUCCUGAAGCCAUCUUAACGGAGACUGUUCCACUGAAAGCUUUCUCAAAUCAUUCUUAAAUUACGAUGCAUAAUCUCUUGAAAUUAAGUUAACAGCAAAAUUAAGAUGCAAGUUUAAUUUGGCAACUUCCACUUAACUGAUUCCUAGUGUAUAAAACAUGCCUCAGUUAAAGUACUUAAGAUUACAUUUAAUUAGUCCUGAGCACCAUAUUACUCUGUGUAAAAAAUCUCUGUACUCUUUAAAUGCUUUAAUCACUGUCUUUCAGGCAGGGUAGACUUCUUAGGUAUAUAAAAGCUCUAAAGUGGGACUGACCAAGAAAUUUGUUCCAAACUACACAGCCGUCUCAGUGCUUCUUUGUGCCUCUUGCUAAAUCUUAGUUGGAAAGAAUUUGAAAAACUAUCAGGGAUGGUUGUUGCAGAUGUUUUCUUAGCUCUAACUACAUGAGGGUAGGGAAGCACCAGUAAAUAAGCUGCUGAAGGAAAUAAGGAAUUAUCCUUGCUUCUGAGGAGACCUUUUUUAAAUGUGCAACUCUUUUAGCAGACUCUUUGCUGCUUUCUGCUUAUCCUGCACAGUUACGGCUCACUAGGCUGAAACUGGAGUACCAGACAAAGAAGUGGAAAGUUAUCCAAAAUUGCUUGCUUGUUUAAGAGUAAUAUAUAUAUUAUUGUUAGUCAUUCCAUGGCAUUAGAUCUUACAGCUACAUUUCAGUUAAGUGUUCUUCUAUGGGUGCGUUCUCUCUCUGUUUAUUGGCAGUAGUACUCUUUUCUAGCAGUAUUUUAGUGCUUAGAAUUGAUGGCAAGCUAUAUUUUAUCCAUGUAAUGUUUAAUUUAAUAAGGCAAAAUGUGAUUAUUUAAAUUAAUUAGAGUGUGUAAGAACUCUGUGUGUAAUGUACUUUUGAUCCUCACUUUUAAAUGCAUGCUUAUAUCUAUUGAUUUAUAAAUAUUUGAGGUAUAUUUAUGCAAAUUUUUUAUACUAGCAAUACAGGGUAUUAUAGAUCAUUUGCAAGACUGUUGUAGUGUGAAUUCACGUUUAAGCAGUGAGUGGUGUUCAUUAAAUGCCUGUGAUUCAGCUGUGUGCUUUCAUGGUGGUAUUUUUUGUUUUAAGGCUUAGCUAUUAAAUCCAUUGUAAAAUACUGCAAAGUUGUGUCUCUGCCUUUUAA